GCAAGUCGAACGAAACCUUUCGGGGUUUAGUGGCGGACGGGUGAGUAACGCGUGGGAAUCUGCCCUCAGGAGGGGGAUAACGGCUGGAAACGGCCGCUAAUACCCCAUAUGCCGAGAGGUGAAAUGAAUUUCGCCUGAGGAUGAGCCCGCGUCUGAUUAGCUAGUUGGUGGGGUAAAGGCCUACCAAGGCGACGAUCAGUAGCUGGUCUGAGAGGAUGAUC
rnacentral:rRNA from 1 species